GACGAACGCUGGCGGCGUGCCUAACACAUGCAAGUCGAGCGGAACUGGGGGAGCUUGCUCCUUCCAGUUUAGCGGCGGACGGGUGAGUAACACGUGGGCAACCUGCCCUGCAGACCGGGAUAACUCCGGGAAACCGGUGCUAAUACCGAAUAGUUUGGCGCCUCUCCUGAGGCGCUACGGAAAGACGGUUUCGGCUGUCACUGCAUGAUGGGCCCGCGGCGCAUUAGCUAGUUGGUGGGGUAACGGCCCACCAAGGCGACGAUGCGUAGCCGACCUGAGAGGGUGACCGGCCACACUGGGACUGAGACACGGCCCAGACUCCUACGGGAGGCAGCAGUAGGGAAUCUUCCGCAAUGGACGCAAGUCUGACGGAGCAACGCCGCGUGAGUGACGAAGGGUUUCGGAUCGUAAAACUCUGUUGUGAGGGAAGAACACGUACCAACUAACUAUUGGUACCUUGACGGUACCUCACCAGAAAGCCACGGCUAACUACGUGCCAGCCGCCGCGGUAA
rnacentral:rRNA from 1 species